UAAAAUGAUUUUACACUAUCAAUUAAUCACAUGAAUCAGUUUAAUAUUUUUAAAUUAAUUGUAUAACAAAAUUAAAUGAUGAAUCUCUAUUAAAUAAUACUGUAAAAUUAUAUUGUCAAUACACUAUCUUUAAUUUUUAUUUUUAACUUUUAAUAUAUUAUACCAUAAUAUAUUUUUAAAGAAUUUAUAUAAAUCAUCAAAAUCUUUCUCCAAUACAAAUUUUAAAUUCAAAAAAAAUUAUAUUAUAAAUAAAAAACAAUCUUAAAAUACUCUCACCUAAAAUCUUU
rnacentral:lncRNA from 1 species